GUUGCUUCUUACUGGUGAACUCUCCCUUUUUGUAGUGGGGAUGUUCAUGUUUCCGAAGCAUAAAUAAGAAUAACCAGUUUUAAACAGCGUGGUGUAAUCAUCUUUAUUCUACACUAUGCUACCUGUCUACUGGUAAAUUU